AUGCGCACAAAUAGAACUAAUGUACCUCCUGGUUUUGCAAAUCAAGGUAGACAGGAGGCACACAACUCAGUGGGUACUCCUAUUAUAGCAAGGUACAAUGUCCACACACCUGCAUUCAAUCACUUCUAUCAGAAUAAUAGAGACAGACAGAUGUGGCAGGGUUAUCACAAAACCUAUGAACUUGAUAUGCAAGCUCAGUUCAUGAGGUCACUAACUAAAGGGCCUAAACUGGAUUUUCCUAGGUUUUCUGGUGAAGACCCAGUGGGUUGGAGAACGCAAUGCACAAAUAUAUCCAAAUGUCAGCUGCACCAGAGGAGUAUAAGGUUUCUCUUGCUCAAAUGUAUAUCAUUGGAGAAGCUGAUAUCUGGUUAA
rnacentral:rRNA from 1 species